GUAUAGCUCAGUAGUAGAGCAUGUGCUUUGCAUGUAUAAGGUCCUGGAUUCAACCCCAGUGC
rnacentral:tRNA from 1 species